GGGUGGAGGUGUUGCAUUUUAAUGCCUGAUUUUGGCACUUGGUGCAGAAAAAUAAUUGAGAUGCCAAUGGCCAAAUUUUCCUCCAUCCAAUCUCAGGGAGAAAAGAAAAAAAAAAAAAACACCCUCGUUUAUGUUUAAAUUUCUUGCAGCUGAGUUAUAUACACAGUACAUGAGGGCAACUGUUCAAAAUGUACACAUUUAUAGCUCCACUGUAUUUUUUUUUUUUUUUUUUACCCUUUGCAACAGAGAGCUGAGACAUAAAUACCACCCCCGUCCGACUGCACGCAAGGUAUGCAUGUAUGUGACGAAAAUAAAUCCUCCGGGAUUUCUAACUGCCAGGCUUUUGUGCUCGACACAUGUCAGUGCAGAUUGCCAACAGGUGCGGCUCGGGGGGAGGACAGGGCAAAAGACAGGCAGGAUGACUGGGAGGAAGCCGGUGGCCAGCCACACGGCGGAGGGGGCGGGGCACGCCGCCUCCCUCUCCCACAACCUGGCUGGCCCCCCUCCUAGACCAAGUAGGAGGCACGAUCACGGGGGCCGUGGCCAAAACGUAAGAUUCCGGGCAAUGCUACAGCUCCAACACUGGCCUGUGUGGGAGAGGAGAGACGACAUAAGUGUCAGCCCGAUUUGGGGAGCUGGAGUCGCCGCUCCAGGGAAAAGCGAUUUCUACCCUCCACUGUCCAGUGGGUAAGAAGCCAGCUGCUCUGGCAUCGCCGUGGAAUCCAGGGCAACCCGUGUUGGGGUGCCCUAGAAGUGCAGCUUGUGGCUGGGCCUCCCCACCCCCAUGAGACACAGCGGGCAGGGACUGUCCCGCCAUUUCACAGGAAAAACAAUUCCGUGUAUUUUUUUGGUGAUGCUGGGAUGUGAGAACGCAUUUCUGCUCCAGCAAAGGGUUUUUAAAAAAUGAAGCCGUAACGUGCCAGCUCCCAAAAGUAAGGGCUGGAUGUCAUUUAUCCUGUCUCCCCACCCCCCCACCUCCCGCUCCCCGCACCCCCCCCCCCUUCUGGUUUAGAGCUGGGAGCCUAAGGGAUAUAUUUGUUGUGCUGACCGGACAUUUGACUCCUGUGUAAGAUGGGCUACUAUUGAAUAAAUAAAUCAAUAAACAAA